rnacentral:misc_RNA from 1 species
UGGUUCUGGCAUCGAUGAAGAACGCAGCGAAACGCGAUAGGUAAUGUGAAUUGCAGAAUUCAGUGAAUCAUCGAAUCUUUGAACGCACAUUGCGCCCCUUGGUAUUCCGAGGGGCAUGCCUGUUCGAGCGUCAUUACAACCUUCAAGCCUGGCUUGGUAUUGAGCUCCGUCACUUAUCUGGCGGGCUCUAAAAUCAGUGGCAGUGCCGCCUAGGCCCUGAGCGUAGUAAAUACCCUCGCUAUAGGGACUCGGCGGUUACCGGCCAUCAACCCCAACUUUUCUAAGUUUGACCUCGGAUCAGGUAGGGAUACCCGCUGA